rnacentral:rRNA from 1 species
UGCUUAGUGGCGGACUGGUGAGUAACGCGUGAGGAACCUGCCUUUCGGAGGGGGACAACAGUUGGAAACGACUGCUAAUACCGCAUAAGCGCACAGGGCCGCAUGGCCCGGUGUGAAAAACUCCGGUGGUGUAAGAUGGACCCGCGUCUGAUUAGCUUGUUGGCGGGGUAGGGGCCCACCAAGGCGACGAUCAGUAGCCGGCCUGAGAGGGUGGACGGCCACAUUGGGACUGAGACACGGCCCAAACUCCUACGGGAGGCAGCAG